rnacentral:rRNA from 1 species
UGGGGAAUAUUGCACAAUGGGCGCAAGCCUGAUGCAGCCAUGCCGCGUGUGUGAAGAAGGCCUUCGGGUUGUAAAGCACUUUCAGCGAGGAGGAAGGUGGUGAACUUAAUACGUUCAUCAAUUGACGUUACUCGCAGAAGAAGCACCGGCUAACUCCGUGCCAGCAGCCGCGGUAAUACGGAGGGUGCAAGCGUUAAUCGGAAUUACUGGGCGUAAAGCGCACGCAGGCGGUUUGUUAAGUCAGAUGUGAAAUCCCCGGGCUCAACCUGGGAACUGCAUUUGAAACCGGCAAGCUAGAGUCUCGUAGAGGGGGGUAGAAUUCCAGGUGUAGCGGUGAAAUGCGUAGAGAUCUGGAGGAAUACCGGUGGCGAAGGCGGCCCCCCUGGACGAAGACUGACGCUCAGGUGCGAAAGCGUGGGGGAGCAAAACAGGAUUAGAUACCCCUGGGUAGUCCACGCUGUAAACGAUNUCGAUUUGGAGGUUGUGCCCUUGAGGCGUGGCUUCCGGAGCUAACGCGUUAAAUCGACCGCCUGGGGAGUACGG